rnacentral:rRNA from 1 species
CCUACGGGAGGCAGCAGUGGGGAAUAUUGCACAAUGGGAGAAACCCUGAUGCAGCGACGCCGCGUGCAUGACGAAGUAUUUCGGUGCGUAAAGCUCUAUUAGCAGGGAAGAAAAUUACGGUACGUGACUGAUAAGCACCGGCUGACUACGUGCCAGAAUCAGCGGUAAUACGUCGGGGGCCAGCGUUAUCCGGAAUUACUGGGGGUAAAGGGUGCGUAGACGGUUAAGUAAGUACGGAGUGAAAGACCGUGGCUCAACCCCGGGUCUGCUCUUGAAACUAGUGAACUAGAGUGCAUGAGAGGUAAGCGGAAUUUCUAGUGUAGCGGUGAAAUGCGUAGAUAUUAGGAGGAACACCAGUGGCGAAGGCAGCUUACUGGACUGGAACUGACGCUGAGGCUCGAAAGCGUGGGGAGUAAACAGGAUUAGAUACCCGUGUAGUC